UUUGUUGACAUGUGUAGUGCAGAAGGAUUAAAGGCUUUUGGUAAUUUUGGUACCUAGGAUUACGAUGUUUAACUGUUGUGGCUGCGCCAUCUCUCUCUCUAUUGUCUGAAAAAUCUCUCUUCACAAACCAAUCAUCUUAUCUCAUAUUCAAUACUCUUGCUCACCUCCUCUUUCUCUUCUAAAUCUCUAUAUAUUUGUAACCUUCAGCACCUUACAAUCUCGCACUAUCUUCUGUUUCUUUAUUUCUCUUGCUCUUCUCUUCUCUUCGAGUUUCCUUCCUUCAGCCUCCUUUGUAAAUAGUUCCUGCUUUUCUUUCUCAAAUUUUUUUGAGCGUGUGAAGAUACUCAGGAUAGCUUUUUUAUACAAGUGGGUCUUAGUUAUUUGACAUACAUAGAGAUAUCAUUCAACCUUUGAAUCUUUCUUUAUUUUUUCCUUUUAUUUUACUUUUCUAGCUUUUUAUUUAAUAUUUUCUACUUGAUGUUCAGGGAAGGAAACCUAGGGUUAGGGUUUUCUAUAAUUUCUCCUUGGUUGUUUUUCUUUUCUUUCUUUUGCGUGGCCAGAUGACGACGACAAAAAACUAAAGGAAUUAAAACCAGUCACUGUUUGCGGAUGCAGCAUCACCAAGAUUCACAAACUUUUUAGGGCUAGCGAGUGGUGGAAACGGUCGCUUUUUUGUGGACCCUUGCUCACUCCAAUAGCCCUUUGACAUGGGAAUCUUGAUGAUGCUGCAGCGGCAAUAAAUGGCUAAAACUUCGUCGGUACACACACACACACACAUAUAUAAAUCAAAGGGCAAACUCCUGCGAGGCUACAAUUGAUAAUGAUGAUUCACUGUACUGUAUGUUGAAUUUAUUGAUUUAUGAUGAAAAAUAACCCACAUGUGUUUUGAAAACAAAAAAAAACUAGUUUAUUUGAUGCAGCUAUUGCUUUUCCAGUGAUUUGGGAAUUUUUUUUUUUUAAAUUGUAUGGACAUGUUGGAGAAAAUUGGUAUUGUUUGAUGAUGAUGCAUGUGUUAAAAUAAUGUAAGUCUCAGAGUUUAACUGCAGAUUUUAAUUUCAGUGAUGAUGAAUUUGAGUGGUUUGACUGAUCACUUUCUCAGAAAGAUCUGUAUGUGUACUGAAACUAUCAGGUUUCUCAGUAGGUAUGUCUGUUCUUUAGUUGAAAAUGGUGUACUAUGAGCAUCAUGAGCUGCUUUGUUUUGGGGUUUGUUUAAGAUUUAUUUCUAUACUUUCUUUCUUUUCUGCUGCAUUAAUUCGUUUAAUUUCUCGUUUUACAGGGCCAAAGGACUUUUUUCCACGCAAGUUAUAAUGGAAAAAUAAAUAUUUUUUGAGAAAGAAGAGCUUCAUCUAAGAGAUGGGCCUUCAGGAAAAGUGAAGCCACAAGAUUCAUUGAGCCUACAUAUGGCAGGCCUAAAAUCAACAUCCUGAUAAUUUCUAGCUGAUUGAAAAUGUUUAGCUGAUAUCCAAGAGGUGGCUCGGUACAAAAAGAAAAUGUUAUAUACAAGAGAAGAGAAGAUAAAUUUAAAUCUCUUUUUAUAUAUCAAAAUUAAAUUAUUAACUUAUGUAAUUCAGUAAUUAUAAGGUUGAUCAUUGAAUCCAGAGUUUGUUUUGCUUAA